GGGGAUUUAGCUCAGUGGUAGAGCGCUUGCCUAGUAAACGCAAGGCCCUGGGUUCGGUCCCCAGCUCCA
rfam:Rattus norvegicus chromosome 3, whole genome shotgun sequence.